AGAUUGAACGCUGGCGGCAGGCCUAACACAUGCAAGUCGAGCGGUAGAGAGGUGCUUGCAUCUCUUGAGAGCGGCGGACGGGUGAGUAAUGCCUAGGAAUCUGCCUAGUGGUGGGGGAUAACGUUCGGAAACGGACGCUAAUACCGCAUACGUCCUACGGGAGAAAGCGGGGGACCUUCGGGCCUCGCGCCAUUAGAUGAGCCUAGGUCGGAUUAGCUAGUUGGUGAGGUAAUGGCUCACCAAGGCGACGAUCCGUAACUGGUCUGAGAGGAUGAUCAGUCACACUGGAACUGAGACACGGUCCAGACUCCUACGGGAGGCAGCAGGUGGGGAAUUUUGGACAAGUGGGACGAAAGCC
rnacentral:rRNA from 1 species